ensembl:lncRNA
AUGUUUAACUCUGGAAAAUCCGAGCUGACCGCCAUCUUUUUUCCUCGGAGCCGAGCCGUCCAAGCAUCAAACCAAAGGAAGAGAGCAGCAGCUUUGCAGGGACUGCCAUGGUACAUGAAGGAAAAUCCUUCUACAUUGAUGAAGAGAUGUGAGCCAACAGAUCCUGGAGAGGACUUCAUCAGAGGAAUGGUGAUUGGAAUCCUUUUGGUCGCUGAAGAUGUGAAAGAGCCCCUUCCAGUUUCCUACAACGAUGUUGCCAAUGUCAUUGAGGAAAAGAUUGUCAUGCAUCAUCUUGGUGAUGUACCCAACGCUUUUGUGAACCUGAUGGGCCUGCUGUACAUGCUGAACCUUGACUAUCCAAAAGACAUGAAAUAUACUUUUGAGGUGAUUCAGCGCCUGUUCAUGGGAAUCGGGUCUGAGAUGUGCACUCCCAGGGUCCACUCUCUAAAGAACAAACUGCUCAGUUAGAGGGAUGGCUCAGGAGGAUGUUUCUGCAUUUGGCCAUGAGGAAGUAUUCUAAUUUUCUUGCCAUUUGUCCACUAUGUAGUAAGAGGAAAUAAAUGUAAAGCCCUUCUGUGGGUCACAACAGUUUAUGUUUUUAUGUUCUAACAGAUGUCUAUUGCUCUCUGUGGAGGAAAUGUCUCUUGCAAACACUAAUUUGUAUUUUAUGUUGUAGAGCAAACAUGAACAGAGUGGAGAUUUUUGUAAUGUUUGAACGUGUUCAUUUUCUGGCCGACAUUUGAGCAAGUUUCUCAGAGAUACAUUAUUUGUUUUGUUUUUACAAAUCUUUCUGCAAUUUACUGCAGCAACUCUGAACAUCCACAACAAUGGACUCAGUUGAAUUCGGAGAGUUAUUUUUUUUAAUGUAUUAUAUUAUUAUUUGUGGAACAGUGUAAUUUCAGUUAGUAAGCAGCCCCAAGCAAAAGUGUGUUAGAGAGUGUAAAGGCAAAAUUUUGAACAUGUCCCAAGGAAGGUCUUUUUUUGAUCUCUCAAUUUUAAAGCAAGGCUGGUUGAAGUUGGACUUGUUGGGGUUUUAAUAAAGGUCCUUAUGAAUUGGAUUUCAUCUCUUACUUUUUAUAUAAUUUCAUCUCUUACUUUUCAGCUUUUUUUAAUGUUAAUGUUAAUAUUUAAGUUUGACUGGCCAGUUCUCAUGUAGAUUUUUUGUAGAUAUUUGCUUAAAUUUUUUAAAUCUAGCAACUCAAUUAACUUGGCAAUAGAGCAUGAGAAAAAAAAGUAAUAAUGUUGCCCUAACUUGAUAAAACAAUUUAAACCAACAUCUUUUUUAGUUCUCUUAAGUAAUGUUUUACAGUCCAUAUUACUUGAUACAGAAAGUUGAGUCAACAAAUCACAAGUUGUAUCAAUUAUGUAUUCCAUGUUUAGCCAACUUGAUUCACAGUUGUAGGAACUUGAUCAAAUAAAUUCAACCAACAUCUCUUAAAGUUAUCUCAAAUAAUAUUUUAAAGUCCAACUUACUUGAUACAGGAAGUUCAGUCAACAGACGGCAUGUUGCAUCAAUUUGUGUUUUGAAGUGUAAUAAACUUGACACUAUAAGUUGACUCAAAUUAACUCAGUCAAAGC